rnacentral:rRNA from 1 species
AGGGUUUGAUUAUGGCUCAGAACGUACGCUGGCGGCACGCCUAACACAUGCAAGUCGAACGAAGUAGCAAUACUUAGUGGCAGACGGGUGAGUAACAUGUAGGUAUCUGCCCUUUGGCCUGGAAUAACACGAGGAAACUUGUGCUAAUACCGGAUAAGUCUUUACGGAGAAAGCUUUAUGCACCAUUGGAUGAGCCUGCACUUGAUUAGUUUGUUGGUGGGGUAAUGGCCUACCAAGACUGUGAUCAAUAGCUGAUUUGAGAGGAUGAUCAGCCACAUUGGGACUGAGACACGGCCCAAACUCCUACGGGAGGCAGCAGUGGGGAAUCUUGCACAAUGGAGGAAACUCUGAUGCAGCGAUGCCGCGUGAGUGAAGAAGGCCUUUGGGUUGUAAAGCUCUUUCGUCGGGGAAGAAAAUGACUGUACCCGAAUAAGAAGGUCCGGCUAACUUCGUGCCAGCAGCCGCGGUAAUACGAAGGGACCUAGCGUAGUUCGGAAUUACUGGGCUUAAAGAGUUCGUAGGUGGUUGAAAAAGUUGGUGGUGAAAUCCCAGAGCUUAACUCUGGAACUGCCAUCAAAACUUUUCAGCUAGAGUAUGAUAGAGGAAAGCAGAAUUUCUAGUGUAGAGGUGAAAUUCGUAGAUAUUAGAAAGAAUACCAAUUGCGAAGGCAGCUUUCUGGAUCAUUACUGACACUGAGGAACGAAAGCAUGGGUAGCGAAGAGGAUUAGAUACCCUCGUAGUCCAUGCCGUAAACGAUGUGUGUUAGACGUUGGAAAUUUAUUUUCAGUGUCGCAGCGAAAGCGAUAAACACACCGCCUGGGGAGUACGACCGCAAGGUUAAAACUCAAAUGAAUUGACGGGGACCCGCACAAGUAGUGGAGCAUGUGGUUUAACUCGAAGAUACGCGCAGAACCUUACCAACACUUGACAUGUUCGUCGCGACUCUAAGAGAUUAGAGUUUUCGGUUCGGCCGGACGAAACACAGGUGCUGCAUGGCUGUCGUCAGCUCGUGUCGUGAGAUGUUGGGUUAAGUCCCGCAACGAGCGCAACCCUCACUUUUAGUUGCCAUCAUUAAGUUGGGCACUCUGAAAGAGCUGCCAGUGAUAAGCUGGAGGAAGGUGGGGAUGACGUCAAGUCCUCAUGGCCCUUACGUGUUGGGCUACACACGUGCUACAAUGGUAUCUACAACAGGAAGCAAGACUGCGAGGUCAAGCAAAUCCUUAAAAGAUACCUCAGUUCGGAUUGCACUCUGCAACUCGAGUGCAUGAAGCUGGAAUUACUAGUAAUCGUGGAUCAGCGUGCCACGGUGAAUGCGUUCCCGGGUCUUGUACACACCGCCCGUCACACCAUGGGAGUUGGUUCUACCUUAAGGCAAGGUUUAAUACCCUUGACCACGGUAUAGUCAGCGACUGGGGUGAAGUCGUAACAAGGUAACC